rnacentral:rRNA from 1 species
CCAAUAGCGUAUAUUAAAGUUGUUGCAGUUAAAAAGCUCGUAGUUGAAUUUCGGGAUCAAUAUGUCGGUCGUGCCUCGGUACGUACUGGCAUCGUUGGUUUCUCCCUUCUGAUGAACCAUGAUGUCAUUAGUUUGGUGUUGUGGGGAAUCAGGACUGUUACUUUGAAAAAAUUAGAGUGUUUAAAGCAGGCUCACGCUUGAAUACAUUAGCAUGGAAUAAUGAAAUAGGACGUUUGAUUCUAUUUUGUUGGUUUCUAGGAUCGACGUAAUGAUUAAUAGGGAUAGUUGGGGGCAUUAGUAUUCAAUUGUCAGAGGUGAAAUUCUUGGAUUUAUUGAAGACUAACUACUGCGAAAGCAUUUGCCAAGGAUGUUUUCAUUAAUCAAGAACGAAAGUUAGGGGAUCGAAGACGAUCAGAUACCGUCGUAGUCUUAACCAUAAACUAUGCCGACUAGGGAUCGGAUGAUGUUAAUUUUUUAAUGACUCAUUCGGCGCCUUACG